rnacentral:tRNA from 1 species
GCCCUAGUAGCUUAAUAUAUAAAGCAUCGGUCUUGUAAUCCGAAGAUCGGAGGUUAGACUCCUCCCUAGUGCC